UCCGAGUUGACCCCGGCAGUCUCCCAUGAGUCCCCGCCAUUACGCGCUGGCAACAUGGAACGAGGGUUGCGCUCGUUGCGGGACCUAACCCAACAUCUCACGACACGAGCUGACGACAGCCAUGCACCACCUGUACACCGACCACAAGGGGGCGCCCAUCUCUGGACGUUUCCGGUGUAUGUCAAGCCUUGGUAAGGUUCUUCGCGUUGCGUCGAAUUAAGCCACGUGCUCCGCCGCUUGUGCGGGCCCCCGUCAAUUCCUUUGAGUUUCAGCCUUGCGGCCGUACUCCCCAGGCGGGACACUUACUGCGUUAGCGACGGCACCGGGAGGGUCGCUCCCCCCGACGCCUAGUGUCCAUCGUUUACGGCGUGGACUAC
rnacentral:misc_RNA from 1 species